rnacentral:rRNA from 1 species
AUACGGAGGGUGCAAGCGUUACUCGGAAUCACUGGGCGUAAAGCGCGCGCAGGCGGCUAUUUAAGUUGGAUGUGAAAGCCUACGGCUCAACCGUAGAACUGCAUCCAAAACUAUUUAGCUAGAGUGUGGGAGAGGAAGAUGGAAUUAGUUGUGUAGGGGUAAAAUCCGUAGGGAUAACUAGGAAUACCAAAAGCGAAGGCAAUCUUCUGGAACACUACUGACGCUGAGGCGCGAAAGCGUGGGGAGCAGACGGGAUUAGAUACCCUAGUAGUCC